GUGCUCUACUGCUGCAUGGUAAAUUAUCACACACUUAGCAGUGGAAAACAGACCGAGACUCUGUUGUGCUGGGGUGGGAGCAGGAGACAGGCACAGGGAGGCUACAGAGAGAAAGAAGGGGCAAGGGAGGAAAGGAGAGAGGGGGGUCAGCACCUGUGAAAAGAGGAAACGAAACAGGGCUGGUUGCUGCCUCCUGCUUCUUAAAGGAAACCACCUGCCCAUCCAGGGCCCACCUCCCCAGCCCUCAGUCCUGUUACUGUGUGCAGCGGGUUCCACACCUGAAGGGGCUAUAUGACCCAGGCCUAAUCAAUCAGCAUAUUCCCUCCUCCUGGCCAGUGAUUGGCUCAGGUUUGGUCAUAUGAUCCAAAUAGCCAAUAAGCUUCAAGAUGGGGACUCAAGUCGAAACUACUUGGGGGGAAAUCUUUCUUCCCCUCUUAACACUGUGAGGACAUAAGCAUGGAGCUGAAAGAAUCCGUCUUGCCAUCAUAAGGAGAGUCCAUCUGAGAAUGUCAACACAGAGGAAGCACUGAUAAUGUCAUCAGAGCGUCUGGAUCCAGCCACACCUGAAGCUAAUCCUAGCAUUGGCGUUUUCAAAAUGGACCCUUGGCUGGCUGGUCAUCCUACGAUCUUCACACGGCAGUGUCAGGCCUCCCAUGCUACGACUUCAGUGUCACCUAAAGGAGGCCCCCGACCACUGUGGCUAAAGAGCAUCCUGUCCCAUCAGACCUCCUCUUGUUUCCUGUUGGCCAUCUGUCCACCUCCACGAGGCAUACCCUCUGUGGUGCAAAGAGCUCAACUACCCUGGUGAUCACUGGGUCCAAGGAUAAGCACAGAUAUAGCCGUUGGACACCUGAGUUAGUACCUGGUCCCCGGGCUCUGCAGAACACUGAAGAAAAGCCACUUGAUUGGGACACGGAGCUGUCACUCAACUGAAAACCACUGAGGGCACAGGCUGAGGUCCGGUGGCCAUGAGCAGCUGCAGUCAGUGUUCUGUGAGAACAGGGAAAUCGCCCUGCUUGCCUGCCUGUGUGAAUGGGCACGGGGCUUUCGGGAUUCAACUUGGACUAGAAUAGAAACUACAUUCUGACAUCCUCACAGCUCUGUUCUUGGGGGUUUGGAGAUUUGGGGUUUGUUUUCUGAGACAGGGUCUUGCUCUGUCACCCAGGCUGGAGUGCAGUGCUGCAAUCGCAGCUCACUGUGGCCUCAACCUCCCAGGCUCAAGGGAUCCUCCUGUCUUAGCCUCCUGAGUAGUUAGAACCACAGGUGCACGCCACCACACCCAGCUAAUUUUUUAAAAAUUGUAGUCAGGAUCUCACCGUGUUGCCCAAGCUGGUCUCAAACUCCUGGACUCAAGCAACCCUCCUGCCUUGGCCUCCUCCUAAAGCGCAAGGAUUACAGGUGUGAGCCACCAUGCCUGGCUCUUUCGGGUUUUGAUAGGCACACAUUCUCAGCUUUAAAGGCAUAUACACACACUCAUAUUCACACACAUAUGUUCACACACAUAUACACAUACAUUCACAUACACACAUAAGGCUAAAGUUGUAAAAACUGACACGUUUGUCUCACAAACCUCACAGUCCACCCUUUAAAAUACAGAGCUGCAAACACAAGCAGCAUCGCCUCUGCACACGUGUACACGCAUGCUCCACCCCAACCCACACGUGUACACGCAUGCUCCACCCCAGCUGAUUUUCCAGCUCCUGGGCAGCAGGACCCAGCGGGGUAACCCCCAUCCCAGCUCAAGCGAAGCAGCAGCCGCCCAGGAGUUGGGCACAGAAGCAGCCAGAUUCCUUCAUUCCUGUGGGAGG
ensembl:lncRNA